rfam:Schistosoma mattheei strain Denwood, Zambia genome assembly, scaffold: SMTD_scaffold0000119
AUCCGGCUGUCGAGUCCCAAAUAGGACGAAACGCGCGUCCUGGAU